CCCUCCUCCACAGUGACACACUUCCUCCAACAAGGCCACGCCUACUCCGGCAAGCCCCGCCUCCUAAUAGCGCUGCUCCCUUUGGGAGCCAUUUUCUUUCAAACCGCCACAAGGGUGGGAAGACUCACCCUGAUUGUGGGCUGCACCUUCCAGCGACAGCCCAGAUAAAAGAUGGAAACGGGAAGUUUUGCUUUUACCCACGUGCCUUCAUGCUCACUGGCAAGCCCGUCUGCUCUGUGUUGCUGAUGCUGCGUGCCUUAGCUGAUGUUAGAACCCAACUUCAGGCUUCUAAUGUAGCCUGAAGACCAGCAGCUCUCCAGGAAUCUUCAGGGCCUUUAGUGCCUGAUUGGGACUGCAGAGACACCCAACCUCAUGAUGUGAGCAACUGCAGGUUUCUUGGCUUCUCCUGUGUGAGACAACCAUUGUUGGACUACCCGGAUGUGUAAGCCAAUCUAAUAAAUUCCCCUUUAACAGA